UGGUCGCGAGAAGAGCAGGAGAAGGAGAAACCCUUCUCCUUCAACCUAGCACAAGAAAUUACUUCAAUUGAGGGUGUUGCAAGUCAAGAAUCGAAUGCAUGAAUCCAAGUAUCCUCUAAUCUAAGUGCAUAGAACAUAGGGUGUAGCAAGGCUUGGAAGACAACAUGGCAAACACGUGGAAAUGGUGACGACUUUCUUACGGGAAAAGGUUGUAUGGAUCACGAAUUAUCAUCACGUGGAGUAGUGAUCGAAGACCGAGUCACAUAAUUGAUUGUACGGGAAUGCUCGAGCAUGUAAUUUAGAAAACAUAAGUUGUGCUUUUAUUUCAUAAAUGAGUAUGAAGGACGCACUUGUUGUAAAAGAGUUAUUUUAAAAUGAACUUUCAAUUAAGUCAAGACGUUUAUAAUGAAAGAAAUUUUAUGGUA